rnacentral:rRNA from 1 species
UACGUAGGGUGCGAGCGUUGUCCGGAAUUAUUGGGCGUAAAGAGCUCGUAGGCGGCUUGUCGCGUCGGAUGUGAAAGCCCGGGGCUCAACCUCGGGCCUGCAGUGGGUACGGGGCAGACGUAGAGUGCGGUAGGGGAGAUUGGAAUUCCUGGUGUAGCGGUGGAAUGCGCAGAUAUCAGGAGGAACACCAAUGGCGAAGGCAGAUCUCUGGGCCGUAACUGACGCUGAGGAGCGAAAGCAUGGGGAGCGAACAG